rnacentral:rRNA from 1 species
GGGGAAUUUUGCACAAUGGGCGAAAGCCUGAUGCAGCGACGCCGCGUGAGGGAUGGAGGCCUUCGGGUUGUGAACCUCUUUCGCUCAUGGUCAAGCCGCAACUGUGGUUGUGGUGAGGGUAGUGGGUAAAGAAGCGCCGGCUAACUACGUGCCAGCAGCCGCGGUAAUACGUAGGGCGCGAGCGUUGUCCGGAAUUAUUGGGCGUAAAGGGCUUGUAGGCGGUUGGCCGCGUCUGCCGUGAAAUCCUCUGGCUUAACUGGGGGCGUGCGGUGGGUACGGGUUGACUUGAGUGCGGUAGGGGAGACUGGAAUUCCUGGUGUAGCGGUGGAAUGCGCAGAUAUCAGGAGGAACACCGGUGGCGAAGGCGGGUCUCUGGGCCGUUACUGACGCUGAGGAGCGAAAGCGUGGGGAGCGAAC